rnacentral:rRNA from 1 species
CAGCAGCCGCGGGAAUACGUAGGUGGCAAGCGUUGUCCGGAAUUAUUGGGCGUAAAGGGCUCGCAGGCGGUUUCUUAAGUCUGAUGUGAAAGCCCCCGGCUCAACCGGGGAGGGUCAUUGGAAACUGGGAAACUUGAGUGCAGAAGAGGAGAGUGGAAUUCCACGUGUAGCGGUGAAAUGCGUAGAGAUGUGGAGGAACACCAGUGGCGAAGGCGACUCUCUGGUCUGUAACUGACGCUAAGGAGCGAAAGCGUGGGGAGCGAACAGGAUUAGAUACCCGGUCCCUGUCUCUUAUACACAU